GCCCGCCUAGCUCAAUCGGAUAGAGCGCAAGACUUUUAAGAAGGCGGGUUUCUUCAAGUAAAUCUUGAGGCUGCGAGUUCGACCCUCGCGGUGGGCU